rnacentral:rRNA from 1 species
AACGAACGCUGGCGGCAUGCCUAACACAUGCGAGUCGAACGAGACCUUCGGGUCUAGUGGCGCACGGGUGCGUAACGCGUGGGAACCUGCCCUUAGGUUCGGAAUAACUCCCCGAAAGGGGUGCUAAUACCGGAUAAUGUCUUCGGACCAAAGAUUUAUCGCCUUUGGAUGGGCCCGCGUUGGAUUAACUAGUUGGUAGGGUAAAAGCCUACCAAGGCGACGAUCCAUAGCUGGUCUGAGAGGAUGAUCAGCCACACUGGGACUGAGACACGGCCCAGACUCCUACGGGAGGCAGCAGUGGGGAAUAUUGGACAAUGGGCGAAAGCCUGAUCCAGCAAUGCCGCGUGAGUGAUGAAGGCCUUAGGGUUGUAAAGCUCUUUUACCCGGGAUGAUAAUGACAGUACCGGGAGAAUAAGCGCCGGCUAACUCCGUG